CUUCAGCGAUGAUACGGGACACUGUCUGUCUCUAGGGUCACUUGGUCAGGGUCACGUUCUGUGUCACUGAGUUCAGUUCUCCAGAGCAGCGUGUCUUUCAGUUGGAGACUGAGGCAUUUUUAAAAUGAGGAGG
rnacentral:snoRNA from 1 species